rnacentral:lncRNA from 1 species
CUUCCAUUGGCGGCCAUCUUGGAGUGCUGGUUGGCCGUUGUAAUGUCUUCCAUUGGCGGCCAUCUUGGGUGGGUCAGUCACCAUGACCUCUUCCAUUGGCGGCCAUCUUGGAGUGCUGGUUGGCCAUUGUAACCACUUCCAUUGGCAGCCAUCUUGGAGAUCUUAUUGGCCAUUGUAACCUCCUCCAUCGGCGGCCAUCUUGGGUCGGUUGGUUGCCCACAUUGAUUUCUUUCAUCGGUGGCCAUCUUGGAGUGCUGGUUGGCCGUUGCAAUGUCUUCCAUUGGCAGCCAUCUUGGGUGGGUCGGUCACCAUGACCUCCUCCAUCGGCGGCCAUCUUGGAGAUCUGAUUGGCCAUUGUAACCUCCUCCAUCGGCAGCCAUCUUGGGUUGGUUGGUUGCCCACCAUGACCUCUUCCAUCGGCAGCCAUCUUCGAGAUCUGAUUGGCCAUUGUAACCCCCUCCAUCGGCGGCCAUCUUGGGUUGGUCGGUUGCCCUCCGGGAGCUCCUCCAUCGGCGGCCAUUUUUUCCUCCUCCAUCGACGGCCAUCUUGGGGGGUUGAUUGGCCAUUGUAACCUCCUCCAUUGGCGGCCAUAUUGGGCUCUUGGUUGCCCGCUAUGACCUCUUCCAUCGGCGGUCAUCUUGGAGUGCUGGUUGGCCAUUUUAAUGGCUUCCAUUGGCGGCCAUCUUGGAGUGCUGGUUGCCCACCAUGACCUCUUCCAUCGCCGGCCAUCUUGGAGUGCUGGUUGGCCGUUGUAAUGUCUUCCAUUGGCGGCCAUCUUGGGUGGGUUGGUCACCAUGACCUCUUCCAUCGGCGGCCAUCUUGGAGUGCUGGUUGGCCACCAUGAGCUUUUCCAUUGGCGGCCAUCUUGGGCUGUUGGUUGGCCAUUGUAACCUUCUCUAUCGGCAGCCAUCUUGGGCUGUUGGUUGCCUGCCAUGACCUCUUCCAUUGGCGGCCAUCUUGGAGUCCUGGUUGGCCAUUGUAACCACUUCC